rnacentral:lncRNA from 1 species
CCAAUAUUCUAAAUGUCAUAUCUAAGCCUUGUUUGAGUCUAGGAAGGGUUUAAGGGCUUAAAACCCUUUUAACUUAGUGUUUACGGCCUAAGCACCUUCCUGGACUGUAAACUCAUUCAAAUCCCUCAAAUCCAUGUCUAAAGUGUUCAAAGUCCAAUCCAUGAAGUCAUUUAGCCAUAUCUAAAAUCUAGUUGUGGUUUGGAAGGGUUUUGUUGCUCAAAAACCCCUUUUAAAUGAGUUUACGGUCUAGGAUAGUUCUAGGGCUGUAAACCCAUGAUAAUGGUCCUAAUCCAUGGUUUAAACUCGAAUUUGAAGGCUAGAGGGGUUGUAUAGCAAGUUAGGGAAGUUACCUCAAAGAUUUGAAGCCUUAAAUUGAUGAUUUGGACCCUUAAACUUGGAUUUAGGAGAGAGGUUAGAGAGAGAUGGUUGUGAAAUGAAGCAAAAGCUUCAAAUGAAAGCUUGGAUAACUUUAAAUAGUAUCCAAGUUCGGGACAUGGUGGAAUUUUGCCCGAUACCGGCACUAAACGGGGCUUUUGGUCGCACCCGAUUAAGUUUCCGUAACUCGGCGGGGACGUUUCUAAAAUUUUUGGAAUAAGCAUUUUGGGCUAAUUUCGUGAGUUCCUAACAGGUUUGGACACUCAUUAGCAUCAAUUAAACAUAUAAGUUUAAUUAAUUUAACCCAAAAACGACAUCGGAACGAAUUGAUAUACGGCGAGUUAUACAGGUAGAAUGGGUUUUUCGGCGAUGAACAACUUCGGGUUGUUACAUUAUCCCCCCGUUAGAGGGAAUUUCGUCCCGAAAUUCAAUGAUUACGAUACAAGUCAUGAAUUUGAAUGAGAUACGGAUGGAUUUGCUGCUUCGGGUUUUCGCGCUCCCAAGUGACAUCGGGUCUCCGCUUGACGUCUCAGCGAACCCUCACUAUCGGGACGCGUCUUGAUUUCGUUAGGUAGAUACUUCUCAAAGACCGAGACGUGAAGUAUCAGAUGGGUGCUACUAAGUUCCGAGGGCAAUCGAAGUUUGAAGGUUACGGAAUCGAUUUCACAAGGGUCGCGAAGGGUCUAAUGUACCAUGAGGGAAGUAUUUCGCUUUUCCAAAGCAUUCCAUGUUUUCCCUAGGAUAAGGCUUCCAACAGAAAACAAACUCCAACAAGAAGGUACAUCUUCAUGUGGCAGAGUAACUAAGGGUUUGAUGAUCCUGAAAGAGAAUUCUGGGACCUGUGGGUUAUGGGCCCACGGGUAUGGCUGCUUUGUUUACUACAAGAUCAAGGAAAAUGAUUUGACUGAAGGGUACCACUACGAACUCGUGGUGAUCACAUCAGGUCCUGGUCGCUGUAUUGGAUACAUCAUCUCCCGGAGGUUCAGCUACGAGGUAGCUCCAGGAACUAGAUUAGUACGAGACUCGACUAGACGUUCGGAAAAGAAUUCUCGAGGAUUCUUGGAAAGGCAUCAGGGAAAAAGUUACAGACUUCCCGUUUCCCGAAUAUCACACGGACGGGGAAUGGAUGGAAAAACUUUCUAAGCUUUGAUGCACGAAGAAUAUGAGAGUUGGGUCAAAGGAAAGAUACGAACAGACGACCCUUUCGAAGACAAGACUAACCGCAUGAAUGAGACUAAGUCAUUCCAUGCCGAGUUUGCAUCAAAGCUUUCCAUGAAAGGUUUACCUUUAGAUCAAAGGAAAAAGGAUAACCAUCUGAAUUGAGGAUACGAUCUAAGGGUAUGACGUUAACAUUCUCUUUGUCACUGGUUGGUCAUCUCGACGGUACACGUUUCAAUUACUAACGAAGGAUUUAGUUUAGAAAGUUAUUUGAAUGAAUGGUUAGCAAAUUCUUUCAGCAUUAGAAUCAAAAAGGAUCACAGGCACAAGAUUUAUCGAAAAGAAGUAUACCUGUGGAAACGGUGGGAUCGGCGGCUGUCCUUUCUUGCCCCAUAGUUAGGACUUUCCCGGUGUUGCCAGACGUUACUGUCUUUGGACAGUUUCGCUUAUAGUGUCCGGCCUCUCCACAGCUGUAGCAGGUUUGACCGAUACCUGCUCCGGAAGCUUGACUAGUUGACGGGGUUGGGGUUUUGCAGGUUCGUGCGAGGUGACCUUCCUGGCCACAACUUCUAUAGUACUUUGCACGACAAGGGCCAGGGAUGCAAUGGUGGUAGCUACAUCGGUCACACCACGGGAGGGUACCGACAUAUCCGGUAACUAGUACUUGAGAUAUGGAAUUGACAACAGAAACAACAGCAGGGGUAGUUGCAGCGUGGACUGCCACUAUUUGUUGUUUCUUUGAGGGUUCUGGGGAAGACUGACUCUUCUUCUUCUUUCUCCAAAACUUUCUUUUCUCACCACUCUUUUCUGUUGGCUCGGGAGUGGUGUCUGCUUCCUCUUGAUCAUCAUUGUGAUUGAUCAAAGUUUGAGCCAGACACUUGGUGCUGUCAUAGGUAUCUGGCUUUGUUGCUAUAACGUUCCCUUUGGUUGGCUGAGUUAAUCCCCAGAUGAACCUUUCUACCUUUUUGCUUUCCGGGGUAACCAUUCCCGGACAAAGAAGUGCCAAGUCAUCAAACCUUGAAGUGUAAGAGGCGAUAUCGGAACCUUUCAUCUUCAGGUUCCAUAGCUCAUGUUCCAGCUUCUGGAUUUCACCCCGAGGGCAAUACUCCGCACGUAGUAGUUCCUUCAUAACUUCCCAUCCCAUAGCAUUGGCUAUAGGUAAAGUCAGGGAUUUGACUCGGCCGUUCCACCAAGUCAAAGCCUUAUCGGUGAGUGUACAGGCGGCAAAUUUCACCUUUUCGGAUUCCGAACAGCCACAAAUCUCGAAGAUAGAUUCUAUUUUCUCUAACCAUCGAGUUAGAGCAAUGACACCCCCUGUGCCAUCGAAGAAUGUGAGUUUUGCAUUCAUGAAGUCUUUAUAGGAACACUCCUUCCGGUGUCCCUGAUUACCUUCUUGGUUUUGGUUUUGGGAACCACCUCCUGAACCAUUGGGGUUUAGUUGAGGUAGGAGAGCUGAUAUGGUGGCAGAAAUGGUUACCUGAAGUGUUUCUAGAUCGAUUUGAAUAGGAGGUGGUCGCGGUGGAGGGUUGUUGGUGUUCUUUGAGCUGGGUCUUUUCCUCGGAGGCAUCUUGAUCUAAAAAGAUAAGGAAAGAGAGGAUCAUAAGUCCUCUGAAUUGAAUCAAGAGAUAUGGAUCAGGGGAUAUCUCAUCGAGACAGAUAUAACAUUAUAUUAAGCGAUAAAGCAAGAAAGAGUGAUCAAGGCAGAAAAUUUUAUCGCUAGAGGAAUGAUCAAGGAACAACACGUAUACGAGGAUUUCUACAAAGGAUCGGCUCGAGAAAUACUCCCAUAGUAUUUCAUGGUUCGCUGCAGCGACGACUCAUUGUUUGGGAUAUUAGGUAAGUUUUAGGUAUGCUGCAUACCACAGUCACUCCCACGCACAUGUUGGCCGUGUCUCGAAUGAAUAUAGUUGGCCAGGCUAUAUUGAUCCUAGACACGACUACAUAACUGCCCAGGUUUAAUCGCAGUGUACAAUACCCAUUUACUUAUAUUUUGUUCUACUUGUAGUUACGGAUUUCGAUGGUCGGUAUACUUGUAUACUUUAGAAAAUACUUAUAUUCGUAGAGUAUAUUUUUAGUUUAGAGAACUUAGGCCCCUUAAUGUUUAUAGUCUUAUACCAUGUAAGCUUUGGUAUACCAGUUCACAAUAAACAAGGGCUCUGAUACCAAUCUGUCACACCCCGAAAACCAUAGGCAGAAACAUUUCCGGGGUUGACUCCACAUUGAGUAUCAAAUCCAAUGCACAUAGUAAAGCAGUAAUCACAAAACAUUACAUUACAUAAUAUUGUUUACAUUUAUUUGAAAGUAAAGUUGUACAAGUGUUUUACAUAUUUAAUAUGAACAAAAGUAAAGACGAGUCUUCGGAAUGCUCCGUCUUCUUUAAAAGGUUGCGAUGUACCUGUCUAUCACUGACCUGAGAAUACAAGCGGUUUAAAAAUCAGCAUAAAACUGGUGAGUUCAUAAGCGGUUUAGUUUUGAAAAGAUUGAGUUUCCUUUGUUACAAUUUCGAAAACGGUUGGUUAUGUCAUUCCAGGAAAAUCCCAUAUUUUUCUUAUAGUUUUAGUUAUUCGUUUGUUACUUUAUCCGUUUAUGAGUUGAUGUGCUACCCAGGAAAAUCCCAUAUUUUCCUAUGUGUUGAGUUACCUAUUUGUAUCUAAGUUCGUUACUGGUUGUUAUGUUAUCCUAGGAAAAUCCCAUAUUUUCCUAUGUGUUGAGUUGCCUAUUUGUAUCUAAGUUCGUUACUGGUUGGUUCUUAGGUUUGAUUUUGAAGUACUAGUAAUUACCAUGUGUAUAGUAUUAGUUAAGUAUUCUAAACCCUUAGAUAUUCUACAUUUGAAUGACUAUUAUCUACUAACUUAGUUGUAUUUUCGAAUAUUUGGAAUCACACAGAAGCAUACAUUACAAUAUUUUUGAAGUUCUGUUGAGUUCCAAAAGAGUACAUUAGUUUUAUAAUUGAAGCUCUGUCGACAUUUUGAGGCGGAUAUAUUCGAAACUCAGUAGAGGUCCAAAGGCGUAUUUUCGUAUUUAAUUCAAAAUUCUGGUGACACUCAAGGGGAACACUAGUUGUAUGUUCGAAGUCUUGGUGUCAUCCAAAGGCAUUAAUUCACAUUCGUAUUCCUAUUUCUAUUCGUAUUCGUACUAUGCUAUUGGUUAGAUUCGUAUUCAUAUUCGUUCUAUCCUAUUAGUUAUAUUCGUAUUCGCAUUCGUAUUCGUACUAAUCUAAUAGUUAUAUUCUUAUUCGUUCUAUCCUAUUAGUUAUAUUUGUAUUCGUAUUCGUACUAACCUAAUAGUUAUAUUCGUAUUCGUUCUAUCCUAUUAGUUAUAUUUGUAUUCGUAUUCGUACUAACCUAAUAGUUAUAUUCGUAUUCGUUCUAUCCUAUUAGUUAUAUUCGUAUUCGCAUUCGUAUUCGUACUAACCUAAUAGUUAUAUUCGUAUUCGUUUAGUAUUAAUCUUAGUUAUGAUUAGUAUGAUUUCUUUUACAAAAAGUAAUAUUGAUCAAAACACUUUUUAAAGUAAUCUGGCUUUAGUCUAACUGUUUAACCUACGAUUCGAACCAUUAGUUAUCACAAUUUUCAUUAUUAAAAUCAUACAUGAAAUAAAACAUUUGAAAUGAAAAUACAUUUAAGUACAAGAUUUCUUGUACUUUUUCUUGUAUUCCCCCUGAAAACAUUGAAAACCAUUUGAAAAACACAUGAAAAAGGGUAGGGGUAUGAACUCACCGGACUCGGAAAUGCGACGAUUUUGGACACUAAACGUUGGUUCGGGGCCUGAUUACUCGCGAUGUCCCUAUGUAAAUGAAAUAAUGUCCAUAUAUAUCUAAUUAUAUUUACAAUCACUAAUUAUAUGGAACAUUAUACUCCAAUGAGAUUAAACACCUCAAAACGAGUGUUUGGAGUGACCCGGGUGACAUCUACGGACGUGUAAUGGUACUAGGCACUUGGGAUUUGAGUUUACUCCCCAAGAGUAAACAUUUUAGGGAGUUUACAACCAUAAAACACAUACAUACAUGAGUUCACGGCCGUGAACUCAUGUUGGUGUGAUUUUGAGUGUCUAAUGGCUUGAUUGGACUUGGGAAAUGUUGGAAUGGACUUCUAAAAUGCCUUGGAUUAAUUUAAGGGGACUUAUACCAUGUUUAAGGGAGUUCACGGCUGUAAACUUUUUAGUUUACGGCCGUAAACUCUCCUAUGGUUAAGAAUAAUUAUUUUGGGGCACAAGGAACAAUCACAUGUGAUUCUAGUUAAUUUUCCAAGCCUUGUUAUGAAUUUAGGGCACCAUUUAACUCACAUUUAGGAGUUUACGGCCUAAGAGCAUGAUCUAUGGCCGUAAACUCUUAUUAAGAGGAUGUUUGAUGUGUUUAUGGUCCCCAAACUAUUUUUAGAUGGCUCUAGGAUUUACCACAAGGCUAUUGGUUGAGUUUCAAGGCAUUUGGACAUGUUAAAAGGGGUUUACUCUCCAUUUUUGAGGGGUUUACGGCCUAAGCAUGAUCCUUGGCCGUAAACUCCUAUUUACUCCUCAAAAAUUAUGUUUAUGAUGUUCUAAGGCCAUUACCAAUAUUCUAAAUGUCAUAUCUAAGCCUUGUUUGAGUCUAGGAAGGGUUUAAGGGCUUAAAACCCUUUUAACUUAGUGUUUACGGCCUAGGCACCUUCCUGGGCCGUAAACUCAUUCAAAUCCCUCAAAAUCCAUGUCUAAAGUGUUCUAAGUCCAAUCCAUGAAGUCAUUUCGCCAUAUCUAAAAUCUAGUUGUGGUUUGGAAGGGUUUUGUUGCUCAAAAACCCCCUUUAAAUGAGUUUACGGCCUAGGAUAGUUCUAGGGCCGUAAACCCAUGAUAAUGGUCCUAAUCCAUGGUUUAAACUCGAAUUUGAAGGCUAGAGGGGUUGUAUAGCAAGUUAGGGAAGUUACCUCAAAGAUUUGAAGCCUUAAAUUGAUGAUUUGGA